rnacentral:lncRNA from 1 species
UCUGCAUUUCUAAUUAUGGUUUGUUGGCUCAUUCUUCCUUGUGCAGCUAUUUUUAAUGAAGCGAGGGGGGCAGGAGAUAUAUGUAGGGCCAGUGGGUCGACGUUCUUGCAAUUUGAUCCGCUACUUUGAGGUGAGCCAGCUUAAUUUGUACAUAUUCUUACCAUGAAAUUCAUGUUAGUACUAAAUUUAAAUUGUAAGAAAGCAGGGAAUACAAGGAACUAAGAAGAUCAGGGAUGGCCAUAAUCCAGCAACUUGGAUGUUGGAAGUAUCAUCUUCAGCGCAAGAGCAGAUUUUGGGGAUCGAUUUUUCUGAGCUUUACAAAAACUCAGAACUGUAUAGGUGCAAUAAAGCACUCGUGAAGGAGCUAAGCACGCCCCGCCUUGGAACCAUGGACCUGUAUUUCCAGACUAAGUAUUCUCAGCCUUUCUUGACUCAGUGCAUAGCGUGCUUAUGGAAGCAACAUUGGUCGUACUGGCGGAACCCUAUUUACUCAGCUGUAAGAAUGGUGUACACUACCUUCCUAGCCCUCAUGUUCGGCUCACUCUUCUGGAACCUCGGCUCCAAACGGUAAGCAAGCAGAGAAGAGACCUUUUAUGGAUUACUUGGUGAUGAGUUUUGUUUUAAUGUAGUGAAUUACCAUGAAUCAUCAGGGAUUCCUUCCAAGAUGUUUUAAACGCUACGGGGUCCAUGUAUAGUUAUGUUUUCUUUCUAGGGGUUCAGAUUGCUACUUCUGUGCAGCCUGUGGUGGUUGUAGAACGGACAAUCUUCUACCGCGAGAGGGCUGCUGGCUUGUAUUCCGCCUUACCAUAUGCGUUCAGACAGGUGAUUUAGUCUUGAUCUGUAUACUUAUUUGGAACACUAUGUAAAUGUGUGUUUUCAAUUUUGUAGAUGGUCCUGGAGAUUCCGUACUGUUUUGGGCAAGCUGCCAUAUAUGGAGUGAUUGUGUACGCAAUGGUCGGUUUCGAGUGGACAGUAGCUAAGUUCUUGUGGUUCAUAUACUUCAUGUUCUUCACCCUGCUAUACUUUGUCAUCUACGGCAUGAUGGCCGUCGCCAUGACUCCUAACCAUCACAUCGCCAACAUUGUAUCCUACACCUUCUACGGGUUUUGGAACGUCUUCUCCGGCUUCAUAGUUUCUAGACUAGUAAGUAGUAGCGCAACAGUCUAAUAAUGACGACUUGGUUAAAGACACGAAUGAAAUAUGUUGGUUUUGUUUUGUUUAACGAUAGCUGACGCCGGUUUGGUGGAGAUGGUACCACUGGGCGAACCCCGUAGCUUGGACCCUGUAUGGUCUAGUUACGUCUCAGUUCGGAGAUGUGACUGAUCGGUUCGCCACGGGACAGUCCGUUGGAGAAUCGAUGAGAAGUUACUUCGGAUUCAGGCAUGAUUUCAUCGGUGUUGCGGCAGUUGUUGUUGCUGCCUUUGGGCUUGUGUUUGCUGUUACUUUUACUUUUGCUAUCAAGACAUUCAAUUUCCAAAGGAGAUAGUUACUUACUUGUGCCUCAACCAUGGAUGAAUGGACAUGGAUAGGCCUUGCUAAAUCCCAUAUUUUUAUAAUAUGUAAAGAUCAAGCUUAUAUUAUUUGUAUUUGACAAAUGUGUAGAGAUUGAGUUUUUAAACAUGUAUAACAAUGUUAUUUGUAAUACUAUAUGUUUGAUUUGGUUGAGCCCCAACCGUUUGUUGCUAUCACUGAUUAUCAUGAAAGAAACCGAGUAAAUAGAAAUGGAAGGCAAUUCAAUAUCAGAAACCACAAUAUUUGAAACUAUCAUCAAGGCAUAAAACGCCCGCCUCAUGCAAAUACUGUCAAAACUGAAUCAAACCCCCUAACUACAAAAGGGCCUAAUUCAUGUUAUAAAAUCAAUACAUUUGACCUGUACAGAAGGAAAAAAAAUGACAAAAGGGUCUAAUUCAUGUUAUAAAAUCAAUACAUUUGACAUGUACAGAAGAAAAAAAAUGACAGAAUCUCCCAGAUACAAAUGAAGUAUUGCAAAAGUUACUAUACUGAGAGGAUUACAAGUUUAUACGUGGCCUGUCUCUUCAUCCAUAUGAGGGUGCAACGCAUUCAUCGACUCUUUAUCCAUAUGAGGGUGCAAGGCAUUCAUCAACCAUAUCAACGAGGUUGGGAUUUUCCAAUGCUGCUGCCACGCGUUCUUUGUCAUUCAGCUGUUUGUUUACUGCAGACGAGUAAAUGAUAUUUAGAUUAAAACAAUUUUGAACAAAUAACAAGGUCUAAUUACAGUUCACAGUAAACUAGUUUUGAAUGUCAACUACUGAGUAAAUGGCACAAAAGUAAGAUUAGUCAAAGAAGGAUAUCAGAAUUGCAGUUCGUGCUCCUUGGAGAGAAAAGUAAUAGUACAUCUAAUCAUUUUCAGUUCUAAAUUAGUUCUAGAAACAGCUUAGAACGAUCAAAUCAGAGUGUACCAACAGUAUCAAGAUGUGUGCGUGCGUGUGUGUGUGUGUGUGAGAGAGAGAGAGAGAGAGAACCUGCAGCUUCAGAGGCAUGAGAACCAGGUGCUACUCUAAUAUCCACCUGGAAACAUGAAAAUUGAAACACUAUAAUUGCAUGGAUAGAAUGGUCCGAAAUCAUGAUGUUGAUUAGCAAAUCAUAACUAAACAUCAAAGUUCUAGAAGCUGAAAUUACAAUAAGUAGAACAAGAGCAUCAUUUAGUAAAUGAAACUUUAUCCCUUUAUUUUCAAAACUACCAAUAUGAAAUAACAGGCAUACUCUGAAUGGAAAUUGCUCAAACUACUAAUUUUCAUCAGUUUAGAUUCCAAAAUAGGCUUCACCAGGUGAUUUUUGGGAUGCUCACCUUGUAACGUAGUGGCAAAGAGCGCAUGAGUUUGACCCGCAAGCAUAGGCCAAUUACUGUCGCCAUGCUGCAAUGCUCUACAGUCGGGGUAAAUGUGACCCUGAAGCAGAUCAUUUCUAGUAAGUUGACAUAAACUAGACAUAGUCAACUGAAUGAAUACACACACAAGGCGAACUGCUAGUUUUCGGAUACAAGAUAUCCAUUCUAGUCAUUAUGGUUGUAUUUGCCCAAAUGACACAUUGGAGAGAAUCAAGGUUGGACUUGUUGGAAAUUUUCAGACUAGAAAUUUGAACCAUAGACUAUAGACUCCUUACUUGGGAUUCAUGAACGAUUCUGCAAUUUGAAUUUCAAAUUGUGUUUUCCUAAUGUCAACAUGCAACUUGAAGCAGAACUAAACAAUUGAUUUUUCAAUUAAAAAUGAUUUCUCAAUUUAAUAUAAGACAUAUAAGUAUAUGUAAACCCCAUAACAUAAAUACAGAUAUCUAUUAUUUAGAUUCAUUGUCAAUAAGGAAUUAUCAUAGAAUUAUCUACUCAUUUAUGCAUGAAUAGAGGCAGUCAAUCAAAGACAGAUUGAUCUGAAAUCUGUUUCAAAUCCAAUAUAAUACCUAUGGAACAUAAGAAAUGUAUUGACUUUUUACAAAUCCAAUUUUCUUCUUACGAAUUGAUCCAACCACAACUUUUUAUUUUUAUACCUUACGUAGCUACGCUUGUCAUCGACCUCAAUUGCAUCUUCCGUUAUGACUUUCAACUCUUCCAGCGAAUAAGGGUGCUCUGGAUCUUUUACAUCUCUGAUAUGCUGUAAUAACAUUAAGGAUACAAAAACCAAAAGGGUUCCCAAAAAACCCAUUUAUUAUUGUGUAAAACAUAAUAAGGAUUUUCAUAACUAAGACUACUCAAUAGAUACUUCUCACAUAUUUGAAAACAUCCAAAUACAGGAAAACCCUUUUAGUGAUUUGCCCUCACUCCUUAGAGCAUGUUUUUUGCUUCAUACAUAGCUUGUUGGCAGAUGACACUACCAAACCAAAAAUGAAACAAAAAUACACAUGGUAAUGGAGUAAAUUUAGCCUAUGUCGGGAAUCGAUAAAUGAAGGUUACGGCUCUCAUCAACAUACCCCCACCAAGGGAUAGAUUAUCUGGCAUAAGAAAGGAAAGAGAUUAUUGUAAAUUUAUACAUGUGGUGUCAGUUCCCCAUCUAAUUUAUAGUAUUUUUUUGUUUUAAACAUACCUAAUAAGUAUCAACCAACACAUCAUCUUCUCAUGGGAUACAUAGCUUUUCCCUUUCAACAAGAAAAACUUAAUAAAGAAAAAANUAAUUAAAUCAUUGUCUAUCAAAGCAAUAACCUUGUGGAGCUCUAUGGAAUGCAAAUGGAGAGGAUAUUAAACAGGCAGCAUACAGAAAUCUAAGCAAAGCUUUUGCCACCACCCAUAUGAAUAUGCAAUGGAAAAGACCAUGAUGGUUGAAAAAACAACAGAAAGCAUUUUACCAUGAAAAACACUGAUCUAACACAUGCCAAAGGAUAUCAAAAAUUUCAAGCUGGUCAAUCGUCUCAAUUGCAUAUUCAUCCACAUCACCUGGUGCACUUCGCGUUCGACGUUCCUUUUUUUCAUACACAAUAGGGUUUGCAUUUAUUAAUCCGGAGACCAUAUUGCUAACCUGAAUCACAGUUAAAUUAGGUAAGGAAUAAACAGUACAGAAAUAACUUAAUAGACCUAACAUAACCCUUGAACAGGAUACAAAUUCUCCCAAUAACAAUCUGUUUUUAACUGCAUCAUUCAACCGAAAAAUUAAUCACCAUGUUCGACCACACAUGUUGAUUCCUUACAACAGUUUAGGCUUAACUAAAGUCUCUAGUCAUCAUGAAAACAAUAUAAAGAAGCAAACUACGAAAAUAAUUCUAAAACAAUCAAAACAUUGAAUAAUUAGGGUUUACCAUUUGAUCGCCAAUUACAUCCUAUACGCAUUGAUUUUUAUUUAUUUAUUUAAAAAAAACGAAGCAAAAUAUAGGAGUCCAGGACUCGAUUAUUACCGUACGGAAGAUUGAACAGUGGCCGUUCGGUUUCUUGUGUAAAGAAACGAAUAUGCGAGGUUCGCGAACCUUUCAGUUAUUCAAGGUUUCACCGAGGGCAGGGGAGAGGGCGGUUGGUGGUGGGAUGGAUGAGGAUACAGAGGUGGCGGCGGGGUGCCGGACUUAUAGGCUGUGAAACGGCGAGGCCGCAAAAGGAGACGGAGGACGCUGCGUGCUGGUGUUUCGUGAGAAAGGAUGAAUAAAUUAGUCAAUACAAAUAUCUUAUUUAAGUAUUUCUUUUCACUCCAACCCACUUACAAAUCCUCUAGAGUUUUGUACAACCAUGUAAUUCUUACAACCAUUUAAGAAUUUCCUUUUCAAGCAAGCAAGCUACAGUUCAUGAGUAAAAAUUUAUAUGAAUGGGGCACUUCCACGUCGCCCUAUAAAACCACCAUAGUCUAUCCGAGUUCUUCGCCCCUCGGUCAGUAAGAAAAUCUCCUCACACUAAGUACAGAGAACUUCUUACACUUAAAAUUCUUCCUCAACCACUCUCCAGAAUCAUCUGCAUUUCUGUUCAGAAACAACAACUCCAAAACUUAAUCAACAGUUCAUCUGCAACCCAUUCUUAGCUAUACUUUCGAGAAACCAAAAUCUAUUUUCACAAGAGGUAAACCAACUCACAUAUACACUCAAAAAUCAGUCAUUCAUUUUAUAAAGAAGACCAACACCGAUGACAUGUUCAUAUACAGAAUCAACACUAACUACACUAACUAGGACUGCACAAUUCACAGAGGAUACGCACACAUAUUAUAUACACACACAAUUAUAUGUCACAGAAAUCAGCAUGCAUACCUUGUUAUUUUCUGAAAAAUGAGUUCCAUAAAAUGUUCUUCCUUCUACAUUUAGAAUUAGCACAAAUUGGAUUAAAGAAAAGAAAAGGAAGGUGUAUCUAUGCACUGUGUGUGUGUGUGGGCGUGAGUUCUGAGAUGUUGUUGCUGUUGUGAGUCAGGACGGAUUGGAGUCGAGGUAGAAAGGAGGGAGGACCGGAGGUGGUGGCGGGCUGGUAGCUCCUGUUGCCCGUCGAUAGAGAGAGAGGAGAGGCGGCUGGACAGCGGAGCUGUUCGGCGGAGCGAGCGAUGGCGGUCUCUGCCUUUGAGGUCGAUCGGUGGUCCAGAGAUGGGAGAUCGACGACGGUGGUGGCCGAUGGCUGCUGCUGUUCGUCUGUCAAGGAGAGGGGCGGAGGCGAUCUCAGAGAGGAUGAGGGAGGCGGUGAUGGCGGUGGUCCGGCUGACCGUGGCUGUCGAUCAGAAGAGCGAGAGGGGAAGGAGGCGGUGGUUCCGGCGGUAAUCUCGCCGGAAAUCGUAGGGGGGAGAAGCUAGGGUUUCUGAUUUGGGGAUUUUGGUGAGGGAUGGUAUGAGGGGGAUGAACGAGAGAGUGAGAAAGAUAGAGAGAUUGAUGAGUUGGGUUGGGCUCCAGUUAUUGGGCCUCUAAUUAAAUAAAGUGGACUGCAUUUUUAUAACUUGGGCUAUUGAUUAUAUUUUUG